UAUAUAUAUAUUUUACAUUGAGUCUAUGAAGUACCAUUCUGACUUUAACAGUGCUUAAUGAAACAUUACAUUUUUUCCGACGUAGUCGGUAUAGUUUCGGUUUGUGCCCUUUGAACUUAAGGACGCUUAACUAUGGCAACAGAAUACGCAUGCUCGACUUUCUGGGAUUGGACAAAAUGCUGUCAUGGUGGGUGAUUUGGUUGUUUGAAAAAACGUUUCGUCAAUUAUAUCGUGAUGGAAAGCAAGUGAAAAACUAUAAAUAUUUGAACUAGAUCUUACAAAGAUUUAUAUUUUUAUUUAAUUGUUUCUCCAAUAACUCUUUGCAUCCGUGACAGCUGUUUAUUCGAGACAAUUAUAUAUUGUUUAAUGUAAACUUUGUUGUACGAACGUACAUGACUUUUAGAACGCACCUACGCAUGUGAGAUUUCCGCGGGGUUUUGGUGAAUGUAAAACAGAAAGAUACGAGGACCGAGAAUACUGAUCACAAACAGAGAAAACGUUAUUUAAAUGGUAUCUUUGUGCUUCUGAGGGUUAUCGAAAUGAUAGUUUUAAACAUAUACCCAAAUUUAAAUACGUCGGAUAUCUUUUUUAAAGAUAGUUCUUGUUUAAGGGUAGCCUCUUAUUAAAAGUAGGGGAGUAUUGCUACUGGAACCACACACAUAUUUUUAUUUGGCCUAAUUUAAAAUUUAUUCAUAUCCGGAUAAGUCAGCUAAUUUAUUCUAGUAUGAAAAUAAAUAAUAAAUAAAAAGCAAAGAAGGUCUAAAAAUAUCAUUUCAUUACCUGAGAAGAUAAGUACAUGUAUAUGCAUAAUUAUA
rnacentral:lncRNA from 1 species